rnacentral:tRNA from 10 species
GCGGGUAUAGCAUAAUGGUAAUGCACCAGCCUUCCAAGCUGUGUAUGUCGGUUCGAUUCCGUCUACCCGCUCCA